rnacentral:rRNA from 1 species
AUUGAACGCUGGCGGCAUGCUUUACACAUGCAAGUCGGACGGCAGCACAGAGAAGCUUGCUUCUUGGGUGGCGAGUGGCGAACAGGUGAGUAAUAUAUCGGAACGUACCGAGUAAUGGGGGAUAACUAAUCGAAAGAUUAGCCAAUACCGCAUAUUCUCUGAGGAGGAAAGCAGGGGACCUUCGGGCCUUGCGUUAUUCGAGCGGCCGAUAUCUGAUUAGCUAGUUGGUGGGGUAAAGGCCUACCAAGGCGACGAUCAGUAGCGGGUCUGAGAGGAUGAUCCGCCACACUGGGACUGAGACACGGCCCAGACUCCUACGGGAGGCAGCAGUGGGGAAUUUUGGACAAUGGGCGCAAGCCUGAUCCAGCCAUGCCGCGUGUCUGAAGAAGGCCUUCGGGUUGUAAAGGACUUUUGUCAGGGAAGAAAAGGCUGUUGCUAAUAUCGACAGCUGAUGACGGUACCUGAAGAAUAAGCACCGGCUAACUACGUG